rnacentral:rRNA from 1 species
UACCAGCUCUCCGAGUGGUAGGGAUGAUUAUUGGGCUUAAAGCGUCCGUAGCCGGCUUGGCAAGUUUCCUGUUAAACUCUGCGACUUAAUCGUUGAAUCGCGGGAAAUACUACUAGGCUAGGAGGCGGGAGAGGUCAACGGUACUUCUGGGGUAGGGGUGAAAUCCUAUAAUCCCGGGAGGACCACCAGUGGCGAAGGCUGUUGACUAGAACGCGCUCGACGGUGAGGGACGAAAGCUGGGGGAGCGAACCGGAUUAGAUACCCGGGUAGUCCCAGCUGUAAACGAUGCGGGCUAGGUGUUGGGAUGGCUACGUGCCAUUUCAGUGCCGCAGGGAAGCCAUUAAGCCCGCCGCCUGGGGAGUACGGCCGCAAGGCUGAAACUUAAAGGAAUUGGCGGGGGAGCACCACAAGGCGUGAAGCUUGCGGUUC